rnacentral:rRNA from 1 species
CUCCUCCUAAAGUGUAACGGAGGAGUUCGAAGGUACGCUAGGUACGGUCGGACAUCGUGCUAAUAGUGCAAUGGCAUAAGCGUGCUUAACUGCGAGACUGACAAGUCGAGCAGAUGCGAAAGCAGGACAUAGUGAUCCGGUGGUUCUGUAUGGAAGGGCCAUCGCUCAACGGAUAAAAGGUACGCCGGGGAUAACAGGCUGAUACCGCCCAAGAGUUCAUAUCGACGGCGGUGUUUGGCACCUCGAUGUCGGCUCAUCUCAUCCUGGGGCUGUAGCCGGUCCCAAGGGUAUGGCUGUUCGC